GAUGAACGCUAGCGACAGGCUUAACACAUGCAAGUCGAGGGGCAGCGGGGGUGAUGGCUUGCCAUCACCUGCCGGCGACCGGCGCACGGGUGAGUAACACGUAUGCAACCUGCCCGCCACAGGGGGAUAAGCGGAAGAAAUUCCGUCUAAUACCGCGUGACGCGGCGUCGGGGCAUCCCGGUGCCGCCAAAGGGAUUACCGGUGGCGGAUGGGCAUGCGGCGCAUUAGCUAGUCGGCGGGGUAACGGCCCACCGAGGCGACGAUGCGUAGGGGUUCUGAGAGGAAGGUCCCCCACACUGGUACUGAGACACGGACCAGACUCCUACGGGAGGCAGCAGUGAGGAAUAUUGGUCAAUGGGCGGGAGCCUGAACCAGCCAAGUCGCGUGAGGGAUGACGGUCCUACGGAUUGUAAACCUCUUUUGCCGGGGAGCAAGCGUGCGUUCGUGAACGCGCGUCCAGAGUACCCGGAGAAAAAGCAUCGGCUAACUCCGUGCCAGCAGCCGCGGUAAUACAGAGGAUGCCAGCGUUAUCCGGAUUUAUUGGGUUUUAAAGGGUGGGUAGGCGGGAUGCCAAGUCAACCGUAAAAAAGGGGUGGUCAACGGCCUCCGAGCCGUUGAAACUGGCUUUUUGAGUGGGCGAAAAGUAUGCGGAAUGCGUGGUGUAGCGGUGAAAUGCAUGGAUAUCACGCAGAACUCCGAUUGCGAAGGCAGCAUACCGGCGCCCUACUGACGCUGAGGCACGAAAGCGUGGGUAUCGAACAGGAUUAGAUACCCUGGUAGUCCACGCAGUAAACGGUGAAUGCUAACUGUCCGGUGCGAGUGAGCACUGGGCGGUACAGCGAAAGCGUUAAGCAUUCCACCUGGGGAGUACGCCGGCAACGGUGAAACUCAAAGGAAUUGACGGGGGCCCGCACAAGCGGAGGAACAUGUGGUUUAAUUCGAUGAUACGCGAGGAACCUUACCCGGGCUCAAACGCAGGAUGACGGGUCCCGAAAGGGGCCUUUCUUCGGACAUUCUGCGAGGUGCUGCAUGGUUGUCGUCAGCUCGUGCCGUGAGGUGUCGGCUUAAGUGCCAUAACGAGCGCAACCCCUGUCCACAGUUGCCAGCAGGUAAAGCUGGGGACUCUGUGGAGACUGCCGGCGCAAGCUGCGAGGAAGGCGGGGAUGACGUCAAAUCAGCACGGCCCUUACGUCCGGGGCGACACACGUGUUACAAUGGCAGGUACAGCGGGAUGCCACGGGGCGACCCGGCGCUGAACCCGAAAACCUGUCUCAGUUCGGAUUGGAGUCUGCAACCCGACUCCAUGAAGCUGGAUUCGCUAGUAAUCGCGCAUCAGCCACGGCGCGGUGAAUACGUUCCCGGGCCU
rnacentral:rRNA from 1 species